CUGGUCUCAAACUCCUGAGCUCAAGUGAUCCACCCGCCUAGGCUUCCCAAAGUGCUGGAACUAUAAGCGAGACCAAUUUGUUGAAUUGGACAGCUGGAAGCAAGGAAGGGAAAAAGUAUUUCACCGAAAAGGCAGAAGACUGGCAUCAAUUGCAAGCUGUGGAAUCAAGACAACUUUGGCUGAGUCCCAUUUUAUAUAGGACUAAAGGAGAGUGCAGUCCUCAAAGGCAAUAAUAUUUAUGAGAACAAAGAAGACUGUGGAGAAAUUUUAGGCAGUAGAAGAGAGCAGAAAGGCCAAGAGGAUCAGGGUUGAAAGAGACCUGGUGGGAGCUGAUUGAAUCAAGGGGGUGGCUCCCCCCUGCUGCUCUCAUGAUAGUGAAGGAGUUCCCAUGAUAUCUGAUGGUUUUAAAAGUGGCAGUUUCCCCUGCAUGCUCUCUCUCUCUUCGGCCACCUGUGAAGAAGAUGCUUGCUUCUCCUUCACCUACUGUCAUGAUUAUGUGCCUUGCUUGCCCUUCACCUUCCACCAUGAUUGUAAGUUUCCUGAGGCCUCCCCAGCCAUGUGGAACUAGAAUCUGGCUGCCUUCAGCCAAAUCUUUGACUGAAGCUAUGCAAGCCCCCUGGCCUUCCAAGAAGUAUUCAGUCCAGGUUUAAGUCCUUCAGCAUCUGACAUUCUCCUGGCAACUGUAAUUGAAUCAAUGAUGACUCAUCUGAGAUGAGCAAGUUGGUCCAGUCAGACCAAACAAAAGACAUUCUAUAAUCAGGGGAGAAGUCUUCUCUAUAUCUCUCUUAUAUGAGCAAAUUUAAUGACCUCCACCAUCUCUAAGAACAAGCAGCUAUUUCUGUAGAGAAAGAUCAUCUUUGGAUAACAAUACAUGAUUUUAGGCUCUAAAAGUUAAAACGUGUUUGUAACGUUGAUAUUAUGCAGAGGUCUUGACAGAACUUGGCAGUCUCUGAGGCUACAGAGAAGUGUGAAAAAGAGCAUAGAGAUUUCAGAAGGAGGCAGAUUCAGUCAGACGUACUGAAUCCCGUUUGAUCUCAACUCAGGCACACUCCAGAUGGACGGAGCAGGAAAACCCUUAGUGAAACCUGCCUCUGCAGGUUGAUGGCUUGGGAGGAAAGGCAUUAUGGAAAAUGAUUAGUUUAUGGAAAAAAUAAAUAAACAAGACUGGUCAGAAAGACUGUGAAAGAAGAACUAUAAAGGGAGAUGAAUCCAAGCAGAUAUUUAGACAUAUCAAGCCUAAUAAUGGAAGUGUGGCACUGGAAUCACGAGACUGACCAAUGGAACAGAAAGUUA
rnacentral:lncRNA from 10 species